GUUGGUAUAUCAAAAUUUAUAGCCCAUACAAAUUUUACACAAACACACUAGAAAAUAACAUUUUACAGAAAAGAAAAAAAAUCACAAAAAACUUAGAAUUACAUAAAUUUUCAGCCAAUACACGAGGAGCAAACCGCUAGAAAUCCAAUCUACAAACAAAGUCCCGGAGAUUCUCCGAGCUGAGAACACACUAUCCUACUUUGCAGCCACCACCCUGCUCAGCACUCGAUAGACAACAAAUAAUAUAUUGAUUAGCCGAUCUUGACCGACGAGAACGCUCCAACACCAUUCCAGACAACAAAUUUGUGCUGCUAACAAUUUUUGGACAGCAAGAUUUUAUGCUGCACAUUCACAUGCCCUGCUGGACGUAGAUAUAUCCAUCUUCUCCAACGACAUCGAAGGGAGAUGCCAUAUCCUCCACUAUAUCGCCCAUAUCCAUGCUACUGAGUAAGCGAUCCAUGCUCAUCAGAGGGAGAACCAUAUCAGCCAGUAUCUCGCCUCAACACAUGCUCGACAUUGGCUGCGCGUCGACAAUCGGAAGCCUGAAAGAAAAAUCAAAAGUAGUAAAAGGUAGGGAGGGAGGGACCUGGUGGGGCAAGCAGCUCACAGCCUGUCGAGGUCGAUGGAGAAGACAACGGCGAGGACGGCGUAUGCGACGAACACGGGCCCCUCGGUGAAGAAGGGGCACAACGCAUCCCCUGGCGGCUUGGGCCUGACGGCAAUUGGGUGCAGCCCCUCAGCCAUCGCGGCGCGACUCCACUACACGCCUUGAUGCGGCCCGCUCGGUGGCUCAACGCGGCACCACCGGAUGGAUAGGGGGAGGUCUGGAUCAUCGCUGAGCUGUUGCUGCAUCGGUCUGUGCUUCCUCCAGCUUCAGACGACGUGGUGGAGUGAUUGGGGAAAGAAAGUAGCAGCUAGGGGUGAGCGGCUCAGAGGGUGGUUGGGGAAGGAUCUGGAGAUGUGGCGGCCGUCACAGUAGGGGAAAGAUCUGGAGAGAAGUCGACGGCUGGGUAGGUGGAAGAAGACGAGAGAGAGGGGCAGGGGUGUGCUAGCAAUUGGAUCAGGAGGAGCUAAC
rnacentral:rRNA from 1 species